GAGUCUUCGGAACGCUGGUGGAAGGUGCUGCAUGGUUGUCGUCAGCUCGUGCCGUGAGGUGUCGGCUUAAGUGCCAUAACGAGCGCAACCCUUUUUCGCCAGUUGCCAUCAGGUGAUGCUGGACACUCUGGGGACACUGCCACCGUAAGGUGUGAGGAAGGUGGGGAUGACGUCAAAUCAGCACGGCCCUUACGUCCGGGGCUACACACGUGUUACAAUGGGUGGUACAGAGAGUCGGUGCAUGGCAAUAUGCAUCCAAUCAGGAAAGCCAUCCUCAGUUCGGAUUGGGGUCUGCAACCCGACCCCAUGAAGCUGGAUUCGCUAGUAAUCGCGCAUCAGCCAUGGCGCGGUGAAUACGUUCCCGGGCCUUGUACACACCGCCCGUCAGGAGCGAAAAAGCCGGGGGCGCCUGAAGUCCGUGACCGCGAGGGUCGGCCUAGGGUGAAACCGGUGAUUGGGGCUAAGUCUGCAAGGUAGCCGUAAUCACU
rnacentral:rRNA from 1 species